rnacentral:rRNA from 1 species
UUCCGGUUGAUCCCGCCGGACCUGACUGCUAUCGGAUUGAUACUAAGCCAUGCUAGUCUUUGUAGUAAUACAAGGCAUACGGCUCAGUAACGCGUAGUCAACCUACCCUAUGGACGGGGAUAAUCUCGGGAAACUGAGCAUAAUACCCGGCAGACCACUUAUCCUGGAAUGGUUAGUGGUUAAAAUGAUUCGUCGCCAUAGGAUGGGACUGCGGCCUAUCAGCUUGUUGGUGAGGUAAUGGCCCACCAAGGCGAUUACAGGUACGGGCUCUGAGAGGAGAAGCCCGGAGAUGGGUACUGAGACAAGGACCCAGGCCCUAUGGGGCGCAGCAGGCGAGAAAACUUUGCAAUGUGCGAAAGCACGACAAGGUUAAUCCGAGUGAUUUCUGCUAAAGGAAUCUUUUGUUAGUUCUAAAUCUACUAGUGAAUAAGGGGUGGGCAAGUUCUGGUGUCAGCCGCCGCGGUAAAACCAGCACCUCAAGUGGUCAGGAGGAUUAUUGGGCCUAAAGCAUCCGUAGCCUGUUCUAUAAGUUUGCGGUUAAAUCUAUACGCUCAACGUAUAGGCUGCCGUAAAUACUGUAGAACUAGGGAGUGGGAGAGGUAGACGGUACUCGGUAGGAAGGGGUAAAAUCCUUUGAUCUAUCGAUGACCACCUGUGGCGAAGGCGGUCUACCAGAACACGUUCGACGGUGAGGGAUGAAAGCUGGGGGAGCAAACCGGAUUAGAUACCCGGGUAGUCCCAGCUGUAAACGAUGCAGACUCGAUGAUGCAAUGGCAUAGAGCUAUUGCAGUAUCGCAGGGAAGCCGUUAAGUCUGCCGCCUGGGAAGUACGUACGCAAGUAUGAAACUUAAAGGAAUUGGCGGGGGAGCACCACAAGGGGUGAAGCCUGCGGUUCAAUUGGAGUCAACGCCGGG